UACGUAUGGUCCUAGCGUUGUCCGGAAUAACUGGGCGUAAAGGGUGUGUAGGCGGAUAUCCGUGUCAGGUGUGAAAUCCCUCGGCUUAACUGAGGCAUUGCGCUUGAAACUGGAUAUCUGGAGCAUGUCAGGGGUAAGCGGAAUUCCCGGAGUAGCGGUGAAAUGCGUAGAUAUCGGGAAGAACACCGGUGGCGAAGGCGGCUUACUGGGGCAUGGCUGACGCUGAGGCACGAAAGCGUGGGGAGCGAACGGG
rnacentral:rRNA from 1 species